UUUAACGGCCGCGGUAUCCUAACCGUGCAAAGGUAGCGUAAUCACUUGUCCCUUAAAUAGGGACCAGUAUGAACGGCUAAAUGAGGAUAAAUCUGUCUCCUUUAACAAAUCAGUGAAACUGAUCCACCAGUACAAAAGCUGGUAUACCCUCAUAAGACGAGAAGACCCUGUGGAGCUUUAAAUUUAACCCAAGCAACCAAGCACAAAUUUGCCUCAUGGCUAAAAAUUUUAAGUUGGGGCGACUUCGGAAAAAAACUAAACUUCCGAGCAUAAGACUAUGUCACACCAAGACCUACAGGUCGAAACUAAAAUUGACCCAGUAACACUGACAACCGAACCAAGUUACCCCAGGGAUAACAGCGCAAUCUUCUUCAAGAGUUCCUAUCGACAAGAAGGUUUACGACCUCGAUGUUGGAUCAGGACACCCAAAUGGUGCAACCGCUAUUAAAGGUUC
rnacentral:rRNA from 1 species